CAUGCAAUCAGCUGGCAAAUAUCACAAGCACUUUCAGCUGAUUGCGAGGGAAAGUGCUUUGGUCACAACUUUCGGUUAUAUUCGGCUAUUGUUUCCAUAUUGUGCAUCACGCGCAAUGCGCCAAGAGAUUGAUACAAACCGGCGCCGCAAAAACUCAGGUUGCUGACUGACUUUCUUUGUGUUCCUGCACACACGUGACCACCACCAUGUCUCGUGCCCACCAGCCCCCCCUGGUGACGGGCAUCUCACCCAACGAGGGCACUUCAUGGACCAAGGUCACCAUCCGAGGAGAGAACCUGGGUACUGGCCCCGCAGACCUCGUUGGUCUCUCCAUCUGUGGUCACAACUGCCUGCUGACGGCUGAGUGGAUGUCAGCCAGUAAGAUAGUGUGUCAUGUGGGCCCAGCCAAAGACGAUAAGGGAGAGAUCAUCGUCAGCACCAAGUCAGGAGGACACGGCACCUCCACCGUCUCCUUCAAACUGCUCAAGGCUGAGAAGAUCGGUAUCCUGGACCAGUCUGCUGUGUGGGUGGAUGAGAUGAACUAUUACGACAUGAGAACCGACCGCAACAAGGGCAUCUCUCCCCUUUCCCUACGUCCCAGCAAUCCAUUGGGCAUCGACGUAGACAAGGGUAAGGUCCCUCUGAAAGAUCUGGAGGCCAUGUUCCCAGGGGUGAGUGGGGAUUUCACCAGCGAGAACUUCUCAGCCACCUGGUACCUAAUCGAGAACCACUCUGUCACCAGUUUUGACCAGUUGCGUAUGGCAGCCAGUAACCUGAAGAAGCAGGCCACUAGGAAGAACGAGGGCAGUCUGGCCUACGUGAAGGGAGGCCUCAGCACUUUCUUUGAGGCACAGGACGCCCUCGCAGCGAUCCACCAGAGGUUGGAGUCUGAUGGGACAGAGAAGGUGGAGGGCUCCAUGACACAGCGCCUGGAGAACGUCCUCAACAGAGCCAGUGAUACAGCAGACACUCUGUUCCAGGAGGUUUUGGGGAGGAAGGAUAAAGCUGACUCAACACGUAACGCCCUCAACGUUCUGCAGCGCUUCAAGUUCCUCUUUAACCUGCCGCUCAACAUUGAACGAAACACACACAAGGGAGAUUAUGAUGUGGUGAUCAACGACUAUGAGAAAGCCAAGUCUCUGUUUGGGAACACUGAGGUCCCCGUCUUUAAAAAAGUGUAUGCCGAGGUGGAGACUAGGAUCGGGGCUCUGAGGAGUCUGCUACUGGACAAACUACUGGAGACUCCGUCUACCUUGCAUGACCAGAAGAGAUACAUCAGGUAUCUGUCUGACCUGCAUGCACCAGGGGACCCUGCCUGGCAGUGUAUCUACGCCCAGCACAAGUGGAUCCUCGGACUGAUGCAGAACUGCAAGGAGGAGUUUAUCAAUGACCAGAGAGUGGGGUUGGGGGCCAUAGCCCUGGAUCUAGAGGGGGACCCUCGCCCGUCGGCCCUCAGCAGGAUCAGGGACACAGCUUCUCUGAAGAGGGGGUGCAGUCUGCGUACUCCCCGCCCCAGCACCUGGCGUUAUGAGACGCCCCAGCAGGUGCAGUUUGUGGAGAAGCUGUCGGAUGUGGUGAUUGGCCAGCUGCCCAACUUCUGGAAGCUCUGGAUCUCUUACGUCAACGGCAGCCUCUUCAGCGAGACUGGUGAGAAAUCUGGCCAGGUGGAGAAAUCGAAGAAGAAUGCCAGACAGAGACAGAACGACUUUAAGAAAAUGAUUGAGGAGGUGACCCAUCGCCUGGUGAAGCUGGUGAGAGGUGCUCUCCUCCCCUCUACUCUGACUGAGCUGGAGCUGAGGCUGUAUGGGGGCUGGGAGAGUAAGACUGAACUCACUGGACCCUGGCUCACACAGGUCAUACACACUGUCAGAAUCAUUUUUGAAGCUCUGGUUGCUCUGGAGAUCCCUAAUGAUCUGCUGCAGGUGAUCCAGGAUCUACUGUUGGAGCUGAGACACCACUGUCUACUGGUCACCCUGCACCACACCGCAGGGGAUGUCAAAAGGCUUGCAGAGAAAGAGGACUGGGUCGUAGACAAUGAAGGAAUCACCAGCUUGCCAGCCCAGUUUGAGCAGUGCAUGGUGCAGAUGCUGCAGUCACUCAAAGAACCCAUGGAGACCAAACCUGGGGAGGUCAAUAUCCUCCAGUUGGAUCAGGCCCAAGAUCAAGCCUCAGAGCUCUGUGUGGACAUCAUGAGGGUGUUUGUCAACUGCCUGGAGCAGCUGAGCAAUAAAACAGAUGGAGACAUCGACACUUCACAUAUAUCAGUGGACCUUGCCUCUCCAGACCCAUUCAGUGGCCUUCAGGAAGACUUCUGUGCAACACCGGAGCAGCGUCUGCUGAUAAUCCUGAGUAACUGUCAGUACCUGGAGAAACACACCUUCCUUAACAUGGCUGAACACUUUGAGAAACACGGUUUCACCGGGACUGACAAGAUCACACAGGUGAGUGUCCAUGCAGUGAAGGAGCUGGAUGAGAGUCUGUUUGAUGCCUACAUCGAGAGGAAGUCAGAUCCCAUCGUAGGAUCCCUGGAACCAGGCAUCUACGCUGGAUACUUUGACUGGAGGGACUGUAGUACACCUACAGGUGUGAGGAACUACCUGAAAGAAGCCUUGGUCAACAUCAUCACUGUUCAUGCUGAGGUCUUCACAGUGUCAAAGGAGCUAGUUCCCAGAGUUCUGACUAGAAUCGUUGAUGGUGUGGCGGAGGAGAUGAGCCGUCUCAUGCAGUGUGUGUCAUCCUUCAGCAUGAACGGAGCCAUACAGGCCCGUUUGGAGAUCAAUGCUCUGAGAGAUGUUGUAGCCUCCUACCUGUCAUCUGAGAGCCACGCCAACUUUAAGCAGGCUCUGGACGCCCUCCCCCAGUUACACAGUGGAGCAGACCAAAAGAAAAUGACCCAACACACCUCCAGGCUGUGUAAGGAUGUUUUGACCAACAAGGAGUGUGAUGGAGUGCUGCAUCAGAUGACCUGGCCUCUAAAAUCACCCGACCUCAACCUAAUUGAGAUGGUUUGGGAUGAUUUGGACCGCAGAGAGGAGGAAAAGCAGCCAACAAGUGCUCAGCAUAUGUGGGAACUCCUGCUGGAAAAGCAUUCCAAGUGAAGCUGGUUGAGAGAAUGCCAAGCGUGUGCAAAUCUGUCAUCAAGGCAAAGGGUGGCUACUUUGAAGAAUCUAAAAUGUUUCUCGAGGAGUUGCUAAAUAGGUUUAAGAGCAGUAUGCAGCUCCAACUCACCUGUUUCCAGCCCUCUAAUGUCCAGCCUGUCAAGAGAUGAGCCAAACGUCUGUACGUCUCUUCAACAUUAAUAUAAUGGCAUUAUAGUAUCUCUAUCUAUCAAAUAAUUUGCAAUGCCUAUUUACUUGUCUCGAUAAGCUUUCACAGCCUUUUGUUCAAUUGUUAUAAGAUUUAUAGUAGACUGGAAAUUUGCCUUUUCUCACACUAAUCACAUGUUUUAUCUUAGAUAUGUACACUAAUUUGCUGAGGGGCAAUUCCACGGCAACGGAAUUAAGCUUUAUCUCAGUUUUUUCACCUUAAAAUCUAUGCCAAAAAAAACAUUGAUUUCAAAACUUAAACAAACUCUACUACUCUUUGCACAGGGACGACUUUCAACAAUCCACUGAAAAAAUAUACAAAUUUAGUGGAAGAACUUUCCAGAUGCAAACUUUGGUAACAGAAUUGUGGUAAAAUCUCCCUCAGGCUUUUAUGCGGCGAUGUUUUCCAAAAACCCAGUUAAAUAUCUGCUCCUAAUUAAGAUUGAAAGAUGUCUGCAGAAAUCCGCUAUGAAAUGACACCUUGAGUUUGAUCAAAUCUAUUUUGGUUAUUGAAAUACAGUAAGUGAAGUGUAUUUACACCUGGUUACAGAAUUAAAGUAAUGAACAAACUAACGUCGUGGGUCCCUGAUCUGUACUAUACAGAAAUGCAUAAUUAUGGAUUUGAAUGUCAUUCACCUAAUGUUUCACAAGUUUGGACAUCACAGUAGAGUACAGUACAGCACAAUAAAGCACAGCAGAGUAGAGUAUAGUUAAGUACAUACGUCAAUGAUAGAUUCAUAUUCUGUCGUUAACAUCAAGGCCAGGGUGGACUGACCAACUUUCAACUACUUUUCAAUGUCCAUGGACAUCCAGUGUCGGUCAGUGCUCAGUGAGUGAGGCUGCUGGUUACAGUCAAUUAAAAAUUGAGGGGGCUUAUGGGUAGGUGUCAGUAAGAGCUGGGAGAGGUGACAUAACUUGAGAUGAGAGAGAGAGAAGCAAAGAGAUGAAGGGGUUGCUGAACAUAACACGAUGCCAGUGGAAGGAAUGACAGUAGCAGGGCUCCCAACUGUGGUUUGUGACUAUUGACAUUUCCCAUUGUAGCCAAUUCAGUUGCUGUAAUUCUGUAAGAUGUUUUUGUAAUUGUUUUUGAGUUUUAAUCACUUAAUAAUUCAUAAACAAAAUUGAUAUCAGUAAAAUCACUAUAAUUAAUGAUACAGUAUGUGGGUAUUUGGUAACAGAAUUAAAAGGCAAUAUUUCUUCAAAUGAAAGACGGGAAAACAAUUCCUCAAACUAAAUAUAAGUGUUGAUAUUAGUUGGCAGGGUAAUUUACAUCAACAUUGUGUUUUGAUGUAUUUAUAAUACAUUUUAAGACUUCUUCUGAUAGAUGUUGUUUUUAAGACCCCUUUUCCAUUGGUUUAUCCAGAAAUCAAAGCAUUUACUUAUGCCUCAUUUUGAAGAUGGAAAAUGGCUGAAAAGGGUAUCUAUGACUUAAUUUGCCAAUAAUAUUGACUCUUAACUUUCAUUUGACACUCAAUCUUAUAUGCUCCUUAUAUGCUCCUGGAAAGACCCAGAGUAAUUACAUGGUUAAUCUGGGCAGUCCCUCUACUGUAGAAUCAUGCUAAUUAUAAUAUUGUUUGAUGGCCGCUCAUCUAGCAAUCAGCAUCCAGUCCCUUUUGGCUAGGCUGGUUUUAGAGGCAGGACUGUCUACUCUCUCCUGCUAAGAAAUAUGGCAGAGCCAGCCAACAGCUCUCUGAAUGUUCAUAAAGAAACUGCAGGUGUGUCAUUAUGUGUUAUAUGUGGAAUUUGUGUGAAAAUGUUUCAGUGCUGUUUUGUCCUCAAAUUAAAAGACCUGCCAAUUAAAAUACACAUUUAAAUUGA